ACGGGAGGCAGCAGUGGGGAAUAUUGCACAAUGGGGGAAACCCUGAUGCAGCCAUGCCGCGUGUGUGAAGAAGGCCUUCGGGUUGUAAAGCUCUUUUGUCAGGGAAGAAACGGCAGGGGCUAAUAUCCUUUGCUAAUGACGGUACCUGAAGAAUAAGCACCGGCUAACUACGUGCCAGCAGCCGCGGUAAUACGUAGGGUCCGAGCGUUAUCCGGAAUUAUUGGGUUUAAAGGGUCCGUAGGCGGGUCUUUAAGUCAGUGGUGAAAGCCUGCAGCUUAACUGUAGAAUUGCCAUUGAUACUGGAGACCUUGAGUACACUUGAAGUAAGCGGAAUGUGUCAUGUAGCGGUGAAAUGCUUAGAUAUGACCCAGAACACCG
rnacentral:rRNA from 1 species